AUUUGUGAUCCGAAGAUGAACGAAGGUCUUAUGGGUUUGAACGACAUGAGGGAACCCUCGCUCUACACUGUGAAGGCUGUUUUCAUCUUAGACAACGAUGGAAACAGACUUCUUUCAAAGUACUAUGAUCCAGAACUCUAUCCCUCGAUGAAAGAGCAGAAGAAUUUUGAAAAUAAUGUCUUCAACAAAACACAUAAAGCUGACAAUGAAAUAGCCUUCUUAGAGGGAAUGACGAUAGUCUACAAGAGCAGCAUUGACUUGUUCUUCUAUGUAGUUGGCAGCCCUCAGGAGAAUGAGCUCAUGCUGAUGGCAGUGCUGAACUGCUUGUUUGAGUCUCUCAGUCAGAUGUUGAGGAAGAAUGUGGAGAAAAGGACUCUGCUGGAUAAUUUGGAUGGAGUGUUCCUAGUGGUGGAUGAAAUCAUCGAUGGAGGGGUGAUUCUGGAGAGUGACCCCCAGCAGGUCAUUGAAAAGGUCAACUACAGGUGUUUGUCGGAGCAAGCAUAUGGCUUCGUCCUUUUUGAUUACAUCACUGGUAACAUGGAGGGCCAAGGAGAGAGGCGGCAGCUACUGUAGCUCUCCUUCCCUCCCUUCCCUCUCUCUCCCUUUGAUUUAGAGCUGGAUAGAGACAGGAGAGAGAGAGGGACGAGGGUGAGAGAGUGGACAGGCAGAUGACAGCCCAUUAUCAGAACAGAGUGUGGCACAGGUGUUACAAUCAGCAAAGGAGCAGAUCAAGUGGUCGAUUCUAAAAUAACAUUUCUCCAUGACCUCUGAAGGAAUCUGUAAAUUAUUGCAAGGGAAUUUCGUUUUUUAUUUUUAAUGAGUUUUAAUGCAAUUAAUUAUUAAAGUAGUGCACUGGGUAGUUAACGUCAUGUUUAGUGCUGGUGUAUUUAUAUUUGUUUGUCAAAGAGUAAAUUAGGUCAUUUGUGUGUGUGUGUUUUUUAAAUGAUAUAAAAAGGCAUAUUUGCUCACUGGGCUCUGAACCAAAUAUCAGCCAAUGCACAAAUACCUGUCUAUUUCCAAAUCAGCUUUAAAGCAAUUGCAAUUCUAUUAAACCUCUGCAAAUAUUGCUGUUCUGUUUAGAGGAGGUACAGUUAUGUUUCCUUUCAGCAUAGCCUCUCAUUUAAAUGGUCAUAUGUCAAAGCUUUAUUAUCUAAACUUGUCUUUUGUCAGUUUUUGUAUUUUUGUUUUGCUUUACAACCUGUUGUCAAAAAAUAAAUGACUGCGUUCUGUUACACUAGGCAUAGGCCUAUAUAUAUA